UACGGAGGGUGCAAGCGUUAUCCGGAUUCACUGGGUUUAAAGGGUGCGUAGGCGGACAUUUAAGUCAGUGGUGAAAUACCUGAGCUUAACUUGGGAACUGCCAUUGAUACUAUUUGUCUUGAAUGUCGUGGAGGUUAGCGGAAUAUGUCAUGUAGCGGUGAAAUGCUUAGAUAUGACAUAGAACACCUAUUGCGAAGGCAGCUAACUACGCGAAUAUUGACGCUGAGGCACGAAAGCGUGGGGAUCAAACAGG
rnacentral:rRNA from 1 species